rnacentral:rRNA from 1 species
UACGUAGGGUGCAAGCGUUGUCCGGAAUUAUUGGGCGUAAAGAGCUUGUAGGCGGCCGUACAGGUCAGCUGUGAAAACUCGAGGCUCAACCUCGAGACGUCGGUUGAAACCGUACGGCUAGAGUCCGGAAGAGGAGAGUGGAAUUCCUGGUGUAGCGGUGAAAUGCGCAGAUAUCAGGAAGAACACCCGUGGCGAAGGCGGCUCUCUGGGACGGUACUGACACUGAGGAGCGAAAGCGUGGGGAGCAAACAGG